rnacentral:rRNA from 1 species
AUUUAAAGAGGUACGUGAGCUGGGUUUAAAACGUCGUGAGACAGUUUGGUCCCUAUCUGCCGUGGGCGUUGGAUACUUGACGGAGCCUGCUCCUAGUACGAGAGGACCGGAGUGGACGUACCACUGGUGUAUCGGUUGUCAUGCCAAUGGCAUUGCCGAGUAGCUACGUACGGAAGAGAUAACCGCUGAAGGCAUCUAAGCGGGAAACUCGUCUGAAGAUUAGGUAUCCCGGGGGCUUGACCCCCCUGUAGGGUCGUCCGAGACCAGGACGUUGAUAGGCUGGGUGUGGAAGUGCAGUAAUGCAUGUAGCUAACCAGUACUAAUUGCCCGUGUGGCUUGAUCCUAUAAC